CCUACGGGGGGCUGCAGUGGGGAAUAUUGCACAAUGGGCGCAAGCCUGAUGCAGCCAUGCCGCGUGUGUGAAGAAGGCCUUCGGGUUGUAAAGCACUUUCAGCGGGGAGGAAGGCGGUGAGGUUAAUAACCUCAUCGAUUGACGUUACCCGCAGAAGAAGCACCGGCUAACUCCGUGCCAGCAGCCGCGGUAAUACGGAGGGUGCAAGCGUCAAUCGGAAUUACUGGGCGUAAAGCGCACGCAGGCGGUCUGUCAAGUCGGAUGUGAAAUCCCCGGGCUCAACCUGGGAACUGCAUUCGAAACUGGCAGGCUAGAGUCUUGUAGAGGGGGGUAGAAUUCCAGGUGUAGCGGUGAAAUGCGUAGAGAUCUGGAGGAAUACCGGUGGCGAAGGCGGCCCCCUGGACAAAGACUGACGCUCAGGUGCGAAAGCGUGGGGAGCAAACAGGAUUAGAUACCCGUGUAGUC
rnacentral:rRNA from 1 species